CAUGAAAAGUAUUUAGCUCGACCUAGU
rnacentral:rasiRNA from 1 species